GAGUUGGGGCCAUCUGUCAUGGUUCAACUCACGGGCCACCCUGGUGUUGACAUUCAAAAUGCGUUUUUUUGAGUCAGUCGAGCAAGAUUCAGUUGCAGUGGAAACGCAUUCAGACAGUAAAUUGAUGUUUUCAGUUGAAACUUGCUUCCAAGCCAAGCCCUUGGGUCAUUAUUGGACACUCCUUGUAAAGAUAUGGUGUGACAAAUAACACGCACACCCAUUCAAAUGAACAUUUGGACCCUUAGCUUAAAAAAAAAAAAAAUGAAAAUAAUUAGCCAGACACAUUUUUUGGAUGUUGCUAAACUUUGCAAAGAACAGCAGAAAGAGAUGUUGCAUGUUAAUUGUAACUGGAGGGGAGUUCUGUUCUCCUGAGUUGUUCCGUAGGCAGGGGAGCUGGGGCCAGAAGCCUCUUCUGUGCCACUUGUGAGCUCUGAUCUUGGGUAGGUCACUGGCUGGUACUUCAUCGGAACCUCAUUUGCUUCACCUAGAAAAUGAAACAUACCAAUUCCAUCCACUCCUGGGCCAGAUCUAAGCCUAUAAUGAUGCCAUACUGUUUUUUCAAGUUGCUUUGUGAGUUCGGAAAUGCUUUACACAUUGAGCCAUUAUGACUAAUAAUAAUUAGCAUAGCAAAUUUCUGUUACCUGAGAAUGAACAUACAACAUGCCUUUGUGGCUCAUUUAAAAAUUAAAUGUAUAGCAUGUAUAAUUAUUUUGAAAUACAGAGGUUAAGAAAUUAACUCGAGGAGUUCCCUUCAGGGCUCGGCGGUUAACGAACCCAACUAGGAUCCAUGAGGAUGCAGGUUUGAUCCUUGGCCUCUCUCAGAGGGUUAAAGAUCUGGUGUUGCCAUGAGCUUUGGUAUAGGUGUUAGAUGCAGCUCAGAUCUCGUGUGGCUGUGGCUGUGGCGUAAGCCGGCAGCUGUAGCUCCGAUUAGACCCCUAGCCUGGGAACUUCCAUAUGCCCCCAGUGCAGCCCUAAAAAGCAAAAUAAAAAAUAAAUAAUUUUUUUUAAAAAGUUUAACAUAGAGAAAAAUUUCAUCCAUUGUUCUUUUUUCUUCUGUAAAUUGGGGGAGGGGGAGCUUGCUUGCUUUGGGUUGAGUGUGGGAUGCCUUUGGCCAGCUCAUGAGAUCCGGGUCUGGAAACUACUGAGGCGGCUCAUAGUAAGGCAGGUCUCUUUUGUGAUCUACCCCACAGCUCCUGGCCACACCGGAUCCUUAACCCACUGAGCGAGGCCAGGGAUGCAACCCGCAUCCUCAUGGAUCCUAGUCGGGUUUGUUACUGCUGAGUCACGAAGGGGACUCCUCUGUAUUAAAAUUUUUUACAUUAAUUUUUUUACUGUACUUUUUCUUACACCUUUGGCACCUGAAUUUACUUGCCCACGCUAAAAUACAGAGAAAUACGCUAUCUGCAAUGCAUGUUAAGUACCGAAAAUCAUUUCCCUCAGAGGCAUGGCCUGUUUCACUGGGUCUCCAACCUUGGCCACUCCCCAAUUUGAAGACCACUGGAUUAGGCUCUUUACCAAAUCUGGCCCACUCUCUGUGUUUGUAAAUAAAGUUUUAUUCAGACACAGCUGCACUCACUCAUUUAAAUAAGGCAGCUCGCGCCCUAUGGCAGAGUUGAGUAGUUGCGGUGAGAGGCCUUAGGGUCUGCAAAGCUGAAAAUAUUUAUGAUGUAGUCCUUUACAGAGAAAGUGCCUUGGCUGUACCUGCGGCCCUUGAAGGUUCCCAGGGCUAGGGGAUGAAUCAGAGCCGUAGCCGCCAGCCUACACCACAGCCACAGCAACUUGGGAUCCAAGCCGCGUCUGCAACCUACAUCACAGCUUGUGGCAAUGCUGGCUCCUUAACCCCCUGAGCCAGGUCAGGGAUUGAACCUGCGUCUUAUGGAUGCUAAUCAGAUUCGUUUCGGCUGAACCACGACAGGCACUCCCAAGCUGUCUUUUUAACUGUGAACUUCCCCUGACAUAGCUGCUGAGGCUACCAUUCUGUUGUGACAAGACUCAAUUUGAGCAUUCCCCUUUUUCUUCCAAAUCUGUAGCCAUAUGACAGGCAGGAAAGAAAAUGAUGUUUUUCUUUUCAAGGGAGCAUUAGGUUCUGGUUAAAAAGAAAAAGGAAGGGGAGAUUUGAAGUUAUAUAACCUGGUUCAAAUCCAGCCUUCACCACUGGUUAAUUCCUAUAUUCAGUGUUUCAUUUAUUGUAGUUGUAAGCAUGCCACAGGUGCUAUAGUUAUUAAGCAUCUAGUCAUAGUUGCUGCAGCCAGCAUGUACACCGAAGGUGUCAACAUCUCAUUAUUCUGGAUCCUGUGGGGUCCUGGGUAUCUAUUGCGGUGUAACAAAUUGCUCCCAAACAUGUGGCUUGAACAGGUCUCUCUCCAGGUUUUGUGGGUUAACCGGGCGUAUGGAGACCCUUCUCCCUGGGGUUUCUGCCUGAGUUACAGUCACGUAUGGGCUGGGGCCGCUGCACUCACAGGAGGGGCCAGGGUGGAGCACACUGUGUCUUAUCCACAUGGCUGGCAGUGGGUGCUGGCUGUUGGCUGGGAACGCAGCUGGAGCUGUCGACUGGAGCACAUUGGCUUGUGCUUCUGCAGCCACGGUGGCAGGGUUGCAAGAGGGUGCUUCCCAAGAGGAAUGUUCCAGGAGUCCCAGAGGGAGCUGCUUAUAACCUAAGCCUGGAGCCCCCAGAACAUCAUGUCCCCACAUGCUAGUGGUCAGACAAGUCACCCAGGUUGGCCCAGUUUCACGGGGAAUGUGACCCCCACCUUUCCUCGAGGGACCCUCUAAGCUGUGUGGCCUCUUGAAUCUGACACGUUUGCGUGCAGCGGGGAGCCAGCACACAAUGACGGUUUUGUUAAAUUGCCACAUUAACAAGUUCAGAGCAGAAAAAGAAGCUCUGAUGAUAAGAGAGCUUUUAAUAGGGUGGUUUGGUCUGGAAAAAAGCCAGAGAAAGCUUCUUUGUGGAUGAAUAAGCUGAGCUGUGCAGGUCAAGUGGAGUGAGCCAGGUAAAGAAGGGAGGGCAGGAGACAACCCUUGCAAAUGUCCUGGGGCUGGACUGCAAGAAAGCUGGUGGAGCUAGAGCCCGAGUCUGAGGGAAUUGUGGUAAGAGUUAUGUUGACCCGCUUGGUGGUCCAGUGUCAGUUUUCUCAUUUAGAAAAUAGGAUCAUGUUUCUCGCAUGAGACUUUUGUGAGCAUGAACCUAAGGAUGGGUCGGUAAAGCCUUGCACAGUGAACUUUGUUUCCUCUUGGAAGCAGCAAGUAGCAAAUGCAAGAAGCAUGCCACCUGGCCCGUCUUCUCCAUCCGCUUCUCACUCAUCAUCUCCUUUCUUCAGGGUCAGAACUGAACCUACAGCUCAUGCCUUUAGAGUGGCAAGUGAUCCAUGAAGUCUUACCCAAACUGUGCAGUGCAGUCCUGGGGCUUGUGAAGAGUCCCAGUGAACUCCAGCCAUUGCCUGGCGAUUAUCUGUUUUAAAUGGACAACUGCUGCUGCCUCAGCAGCACCUGGGGGAUUGCACAAAGGCUAAAUUUCUUUGCCUGUUCACAGGGCUGAUUUGCAUGAUUUUCCCCCAACUCUCUCCCCCCACCUGACCAGCUGUAGUUAACAGAUGCAUGCACUUGCAGCACACAGGACAUCCCCAACAAGAGAGAAUGUUCUGGUCCAAAAUGUGAGGAGUGCUAAGUCCAAAAGACCCCGCUCUUUUCCCAUCAUCUGGCACUUUCCUCUUGCUCCUAAGUCACCCUUGCUCUGGCUUCCUGGUGGUUCCCCCAGAUGCACCAAGCGCUGUCUUAUUUCAGAGUCCUCACAACUGCUAUUCCUUCUCCUCUGUCUGUUUUUCCCCAAAGUGGCCUUCCCUGGUCUCUAGGUCUCAGUGGGCCCCCACAACCGCUUCUGCUUUCUCUUCAGAGCUCCUGCCUCAGUCUGCAAGGCUCCAUUCAUUUUUGCCACCACCCUCUGUGACCCUCCCUCCCGCCAGUCUGCAGGAGCAGCAAAGAUCUGGAUCACAGCUGUCUGGCUCACUGCUGUGUCCCCAGCUUCUGGCCCAGGGCCAGACACAUAGCUUGUUGAAAUUGGGGGAGGUUGAAAGUGAGGAGAGGAGAGGUUUUAGGACCAAAAACCUUGGGAGUUCCCUGGUGGCCCCGUGGAUUAAGGAUCCAUUAUUGUCACAGCUGUGGCUUGGGUUUGAUCCCUGGCCUGGGAACUUUUGCAUGUUGCGGAUGCAGCUGAAAGAAGACUCAGAAAUCCUGGCUUCAGGUACCAAUUUCUAGCCUUGUGAUUUGGAGGAUACUUCCUCAAGCUCUCUGAGCCUCAGUUUUCUCAUCUGUACAAUGGGGUGAUCAUCACCCCCCUGACGGGCUUGCUGUGUGAGGCUCGUUUUCAGUGAUAUGUCGUGACGGCUGAAUAAACGGUAUACACCUUGGGAUGAUCUUUCCUCCCCAGGGGGCUGGUCCUGAUGCCCCCGGUUCGGGAGGCGGAGGCGGAGGGAGGAAUGGGAGCGGUUAACACCCAGACAUCCCUUUCUAGGCAGCUUCGCUUACCAGUGUGCCCUCCUCCUCGCCCCACUUCCGGUGUCGGGGCUCCUGUUGUGCAGGUGAGGAGAGGCAGUUCGGGGUGGGGGCGGCUGAGCUGGGCCCCCAGGGAGUCGGUGGCUGACGUGGGAUUCAAGCACAUCCAGACGGUCUGGCUUUUAGAAUCUUGCCCAGGAUGCUGAGCUACCCUUCUGGGAUUUGUUUCUCACCUCGCUUUGCAGAAAUGUUCCUUUUCUCGUUUCUUGUUUGCGUGCAGCAGGGCUUCCUGUGGUUGCAGUCAAGACAAGCCGAUUCGUCAAAGGGAGUUGAGGCUGGGGGUGUGGGGAGGGCAGGACACUCAUAAGGGGACCCGCCCACACGCUGGCGGCACAGAACCUUCACGAAGAUGACUGCGUGCCGACCCGGGGAGGCCGGGCCUAUGGAGAGAAGUUUCCCGUAACGGUUUCCUUAGAAAUAGGGCGGAGGGAGGGGACCUUCCAGGCCAGAGCCUUUACUGGGGUUUCUGAGGGCAAGGCGAGGUGGGGGCGGAGUAAACAGCUUGUGGCUGGCUGGUUGGAUCCUUCUAGACAGCUCUAGACUACAGCGAUGGCCUCUAGUUGCCUGAAACCUGGCCUGGGCAUGACCGAGGGCAGGGGGCAUGCUGGCUUGGUAAGGCGGUCCUUGGGGGUGCAGGCUGGUUUGUGUAUGGACGCCAGGCUCCCCUCGGAGCCCCUGCUGUUGCUCAGAGCUGCUCGCCUCUGCGGGGUGGGGAGCAGCCUCUCCCCGUCAGUGAGGCCCUCACCUGCCAGAGCAUCAGGGAUACAGCAAACAAGAAAAUGUCAUUAAUGUAACUGGCCUUGGGGUUCCCAUGGUGGCUCAACCGACACGAAUCCGACUGCUGUCCUUGAAGAUGCGGGUUCGUUCCCUGGCCUCGCUCAGUGGGUUAAGGAUCUGGCAUUGCUGUGGCUGUGGUGUAGGCCAGCAGCUGCUGCUCCUAUUCGACCCCUGGUCUGGGAACCUCCAUAUGCCGUGGGCACAGUCCUAAAAAGCGAUGUAUACAUUGCUGGCCCUGUGAUGGGAAUGCCAGCUCAACAAAGGAUCUAAGAAAACACAGAGCGUCCCCCUUCCUUGCUCACGUUUGGGCCCAGGGAGUCCAGCCUGGGACCCCCAGAGUGCAGACGUGUGCUCUGUUGAUUCUUGCCUGUAUCUUGUCAUCAGAAAAGUACCUGUUUUCUGAGGAUAGAACACAAGGUCCUUGGGCACAGAUGGCAUGACAUUGCUGUGCCUGUCUGGGCUGCGUGUGAGGAGUGCCUGCUGUGUGGCACGCUCUGGGUCGGGUGGCGCUGGAGUAUAAUGUGAGCGGUCAAGCUCAUUCCCUGACCUCCAGGCACUUGAAGUCUAGUGGGAGAGACUGAGGUUGGUGACACUGUGCAGCAGGUAGGUCCGUCUGGGACAUCGUGGAAGUCUUCCUGGAGGAAGUGACAUAGUAGCUGAGUUGGGAAGGCUAUUUUUAGAAUGUUUGGUGGGAACCGUAAGAAGGGGAAAAUGAGAGUUCCUGCUGUGGAGCAGCGUGUUUAGGAUCUGACCUUGUCUCUGUGAUGACAUGGGUUUGACCCCUACCUAGCAGAGUGGGUUAAGGACGUGGCAUUGCUGUGGCUGUGGCAUAGGUCACAGCUACAGCCUAGAUUAAAUCUCUGGUCUGGGAACUUCCAUAUGCUGUGGGCGCAACUAUUAGAAACAUAAACUAGUAAAGAAAGAAGGGGCAAAUGGGAUGUAGCACCCCCAAAUGCACUUUUCUUGCAGUGUUUGAAGAACCUGUGAACAACUCCGUUCCAAGAACCAGGACUGGCACCUCCUUUGGGGGGUCAGAUCCAGCCUUUUGUUAAGGCUGGAUGGCUUGCAGGGUGUGCUUUGCCUCAUAGUGUAUCUAAGCUUGAGUAAUAAUGAGUUUGGGGCAAAGAGGGGGUAGUGUCACUAUAGGUAUUCACCUGCCAGCCACACUCCGCCCACGUUAAUCACUGGAGUAAAGACUGAACAUAGAUGAACGUGAAACAUGGGCCGGAUUGCAAAUCAGGUGUCAGGUUUGACAAGCUCCUCCCCAGCGGUAGGACCAUGGGGAGGUAGACACACCCCUGCUGCGCUGUUUCUUGUCUGCAACAGCAGAUGUCAUUAGAUCUCCCUGGAGCCCCAUCACUAGGCCCCCACCUUCCAGGAUGGCGGAUGGCGUGUGACUGGGAGAACCAGAGUUAGAGGCCACGCCAUUGCCAUCGGGGUCGGGGAAGAGGACUUGGAUGACUUAGAUUCUUGAGAGCCUCUCUGCCUUCGCCCUUCCCUGCUCAUCUCAAAGUGAGUCUCCCCCCCCCCCCCCCCCCCCCCGCGCCAAUUCUUGGUAUUUGUAAGGCUGGAAUUUGGUUGUCAUAGCAUUUAAUCUCUUUACAUGGGCUUUCUUCUAGCUUCUAAGUACACUGUGGGCAAUGUGGUUGAGUUAAGCCUGGGCUUCUGGAAUCCUUGGUGUGACUGUGUGUGUGUGUGUGUGUGCGCGCGUGCGCGCGUGCGGUAGGAGCACCUCUCAUGGAUGUGAGCGCUCUGCUCUCCACAGCUCCUGUUCACAUAGUUUCUCAUGUGACUGAGUGAUUCCUGAGACUCAGGCUGAACUGUAGCCAUGAAAAUGCAGACUCUACCUCAGCAGGAUACAGGGUACAGACCCUCACCUCCAGGAUCUGUGCAGAGCAUUUGGGGGGGCAUUUGGGCCCCCAGAGACACCGUCUUGCACGUACAUCUCACAUGUGCCCUUCAAGCCAAGUUGCUGUGAGAUAGAGGCUCUAGGCCCCUGCCCAGUGUAAACAUGAUUAUGGCUCCGCGAGUUAAGAAUCUGACUAGGAUCCAUGAGGAUGUGGGUUCUCUCCCUGGCCUUACUCAGUGGGUUAAGGAUCUCGUGUGGCUGUGGCAUAGGCCUCAGCUGCGGCGCUGAUUUGACCCCUAGCCUGGGAACUUCAUUUGCCGCAGGCGUGGCCCUAAAAAGAGAAAACCAAAAAAACACCGUGAUUAUAUUGCAGUAAGGGCAGAGCCUGUUCCUCUAUCACAUUCCCUUGAGCCCCAAGUCGAGGAGUUUGAAAGAGUUUUCUAAAAGGAAAGAAAACAGCCUUUUCACCGUAGGCUUCCUUGGCGCCUACUGCUAAGAGCCAGGCAGAGUGUCAGGGGAGCUUUCAUGAUUGAAGCAGCUGGAUCAGGGAGUUCCUUUUGAGGCUCAGGGGUAACGAAUCCGACUAGUGUCCAUGAAGACUCGGGUUCCAUCCCUGGCAUCGCUCAGUGGUUAAGGAUCUGGCGUUGCCAGGAGCUGUGGUGUAGGUCAGAGAUGCGGUUCAGAUCGUGCAUUUCUGUGGCUGUGGCGUAGGCUCCAAUUUGACCCCCAGCCUGAGAGGAUCCAUAUGUCGCAUGUGCAGCCCUAAAAAGCAAAAAAAAAAAAAAA
rnacentral:lncRNA from 1 species